rnacentral:ncRNA from 1 species
AUUGAUAAAGGCACACUCGGAGUAAUCCGGGGCCGCAAAGCCACAGAUCCUACCGGCAAAUGACCGGAGGAUGGCUGGGCCGCCAAAA